GUCCACGCCGUAAACGAUGGAUACUAGCUGUUCGGUAGCAAUACUGAGUGGCUAAGCGAAAGUGAUAAGUAUCCCACCUGGGGAGUACGAACGCAAGUUUGAAACUCAAAGGAAUUGACGGGGGCCCGCACAAGCGGUGGAGCAUGUGGUUUAAUUCGAUGAUACGCGAGGAACCUUACCAAGGCUUAAAUGUAGAUUGACAGGACUGGAAACAGUUUUUUCUUCGGACAAUUUACAAGGUGCUGCAUGGUUGUCGU
rnacentral:rRNA from 1 species